rnacentral:antisense_RNA from 1 species
CACGAUGUGGUGAACUUUUAGAAACGGAUUCAGUAGUACCAAAAUACUCAUAAUGUGCAGACAGACAAAAGAACUGGAGGGAGUCGUGUUUUCAGACACAGGAAGCUUCUCACGUGCUCAGCCUGGACCUCAUCUCUCAGCCUCACACUCAGAUUUUCGGCAGCCCCCGCUAUGCACCCGAGUCUUCAGACGUCAUCCCAGAGCUCCUAGCUUGCCCGGGAGGCACAGCCAUCAGCUGGCUAUCUUUGAAAUUCUCCUCUUGGCCACUUAUCCCAACUAAACACAUCACCACUGAGGACCUGUCCAGGGGUUUAGCUCCUGAUGAAGAGACAGAGAAAAGGUCAGAGAAAGGAAAGGUGACGCUCCAUCCAAGAUGACUACAGCGCUAUGAUUUGCAGAUGGGGAAGGUCACGGGAUGCUAGACGCAACAGAAUCUCAACAGGGACCCGAGAGAGAGAGAGGCUCCUCUCUCCCUACGCUAAUAUCCUAUGAUCCCUGUGUCACUUUCCAGAAAACACUGUCAGUCCCAUGGACCUAGGAUUAUAAAAUCCUAUAAGAUUUAUACAGAAAAUACAAAAAUUUGGGGAGGGGGAAUUGUGAAACAAUGUGAAAAAACUAUUUGUCAAAUGGACAGUGGGGAAUAACUUCUCCUCCCGCACCUCCUCCAAGCUUCUAACAACACUCAUGGCACACAAUACAGGGGAUACUGCCAUAAAAAUGACUUAAAAUGUGCCCUUUUGAGGUAAAGUAACUAUGGGACAAGUGACUAUAAAAAUGACACAGCUG